rnacentral:sRNA from 1 species
ACCCGUGGAAGAGGUUUUGAAAACAAAGGAACUCCCAACAUUCUCUAGCCUAUUGCCAUGAUCAUCCAAACUAAGUCCAUAUGCCUAACAAGUCUAAUCAAAUCCUAACCAACAUGUACUUCUCUGCAAGCUUACACAACAUUCUAGAUUCCAUACCUAAGUUCCACAACUAUAUCCACUAGGCUGUCAUCGUUGGGUCUCAUCAAAUAAGCCAACAUUCAAGAUCCUUCUAGACUCAUUCUUGUACUAUACCAUGAUAAAUGGACCAUUCUUUAUAUAAUUGGUCAACAAUGGAAUAAACUCUUAGGAAGCAAAUUUGC